UACGUAGGGUGCAAGCGUUGUCCGGAAUUAUUGGGCGUAAAGAGCUCGUAGGCGGUUUGUCGCGUCUGCUGUGAAUCCCGAGGCUCAACCUCGGGCCUGCAGUGGGUACGGGCAGACUAGAGUGCGGUAGGGGAGAUUGGAAUUCCUGGUGUAGCGGUGGAAUGCGCAGAUAUCAGGAGGAACACCGGAUGGCGAAGGCAGAUCUCUGGGCCGUAACUGACGCUGAGGAGCGAAAGCGUGGGGAGCGAACAGG
rnacentral:rRNA from 1 species